UACGAAGGGGGCUAGCGUUGCUCGGAAUCACUGGGCGUAAAGGGUGCGUAGGCGGGUCUUUAAGUCAGGGGUGAAAUCCUGGAGCUCAACUCCGGAAAUGCCAUUGAAACUGUAAGACUUGAGGAUGAGAGAGGUGAGUGGAAUUCCCAGUGUAGAGGUGAAAUUCGUAGAUAUUGGGAAGAACACCGGUGGCGAAGGCGGCUCACUGGCUCAUAUCUGACGCUCAGGCGCGACAGCGUGGGGGAUCAAACAGG
rnacentral:rRNA from 1 species